GGGGCUGACAUGGCAUUGACAGCGGGUUUAGUGGGAGUGUAAGCAUGCCGAGCGCUGUGAACGCGGCUCGUUAAUCCCGAUUCUCACGCCUCUAAACGGCAACGAUUACAACUACGCUUUGGCUGCUUAAUAAUAGUUAUUAAGUGCCAUUUGCUUCCCGGGAAGCCACACCCGGCCGCGUCCCCAAGGAAGCAUCAUCAAAAGCCGGGAUAAGGCAGGUAAAGCUUCGGUGCCUGCACGAAAAAUAUAGAAGCUCAGGCUGAGGAUAGGGCCGCCUUUUCCCGGUCCAAGGCCGAAACCCCAACUAAAGGAUAAGCAUGUAGAAAGCAUUUUUGCUGCUCGUUUGGACGAGGGUUCAAUUCCCUCCAGCUCCACAG
rnacentral:tmRNA from 1 species